rnacentral:rRNA from 1 species
UAGGGAAUCUUCGGCAAUGGACGAAAGUCUGACCGAGCAACGCCGCGUGAGUGAAGAAGGUUUUCGGAUCGUAAAACUCUGUUGUUAGAGAAGAACAAGGACGUUAGUAACUGAACGUCCCCUGACGGUAUCUAACCAGAAAGCCACGGCUAACUACGUGCCAGCAGCCGCGGUAAUACGUAGGUGGCAAGCGUUGUCCGGAUUUAUUGGGCGUAAAGCGAGCGCAGGCGGUUUCUUAAGUCUGAUGUGAAAGCCCCCGGCUCAACCGGGGAGGGUCAUUGGAAACUGGGAGACUUGAGUGCAGAAGAGGAGAGUGGAAUUCCAUGUGUAGCGGUGAAAUGCGUAGAUAUAUGGAGGAACACCAGUGGCGAGGGCGGCUCUCUGGUCUGUAACUGACGCUGAGGCUCGAAAGCGUGGGGAGCAAACAGG